rnacentral:rRNA from 1 species
GAUGAACGCUGGCGGCGUGCCUAAUACAUGCAAGUCGAGCGAACGGACGAGAAGCUUGCUUCUCUGAUGUUAGCGGCGGACGGGUGAGUAACACGUGGAUAACCUACCUAUAAGACUGGGAUAACUUCGGGAAACCGGAGCUAAUACCGGAUGAUAUUUUGAACCGCAUGGUUCAAAAGUGAAAGACGGUCUUGCUGUCACUUAUAGAUGGAUCCGCGCUGCAUUAGCUAGUUGGUAAGGUAACGGCUUACCAAGGCAACGAUGCAUAGCCGACCUGAGAGGGUGAUCGGCCACAUGAGAACUGAGACACGGUCCAGACUCCUACGGGAGGCAGCAGUAGGGAAUCUUCCGCAAUGGGCGAAAGCCUGACGGAGCAACGCCGCGUGAGUGAUGAAGGUCUUCGGAUCGUAAAACUCUGUUAUUAGGGAAGAACAUAUGUGUAAGUAACUGUGCACAUCUUGACGGUACCUAAUCAGAAAGCCACGGCUAACUACGUG